GGCAGACGGGUGAGUAACACGUGGGAACAUGCCCUUCGGUACGGAAUAACUCAGGGAAACUUGUGCUAAUACCGUAUACGUCCGAGAGGAGAAAGAUUUAUCGCCGAAGGAUUGGCCCGCGUCUGAUUAGCUAGUUGGUGAGGUAAUGGCUCACCAAGGCGACGAUCAGUAGCUGGUCUGAGAGGAUGAUCAGCCACAUUGGGACUGAGACACGGCCCAAACUCCUACGGGAGGCAGCAGUGGGGAAUAUUGGACAAUGGGCGCAAGCCUGAUCCAGCCAUGCCGCGUGAGUGAUGAAGGCCUUAGGGUUGUAAAGCUCUUUUACCCGGGAAGAUAAUGACUGUACCGGGAGAAUAAGCCCCGGCUAACUUCGUGCCAGCAGCCGCGGUAAUACGAAGGGGGCUAGCGUUGUUCGGAUUUACUGGGCGUAAAGCGCACGUAGGCGGAUCUUUAAGUCAGAGGUGAAAUCCCAAGGCUCAA
rnacentral:rRNA from 1 species